CAGGCUCAUCAGAAUUCAGCUGAAAUAGGAAGUUAGUGGAGAGUAAUUCAAGGCAGAUUUAAGCAUAUCCGUCUGGAUCCCUGUGCUUCCACUCCACUGUAAUUGAUGGGGAAAUGUUAAUUAUGUUCCCAUAUAAUAACAAGACCUUGAAAAUGAAGUCAUCUUAAAAUCUCACACGAGCUAUGCUCUCUCCGGGAGUAUCAGUUUAGUAAUUUCUUGGGGGAAUGUGGCCACACAAAACUCACAGCACGAGCACGUCCGUGAACUUUGUUGGCUGUCAGGUUGUAGACUUCAUGUUUUGGCUAUCCUCUGAACACUUCUUUUGAAUUCCCAGGCUUGAGCUCAGUGACGGGAGCUCACAGACGCUGUCUAAUCGAGAGGGAAUGACAAACAGCCAGAUGGAUAAAGCUACAGAUUCAUGGAAUGACUGAAUCCUGUGGGCUUUCGUGGAAAAGCUGUCAUUGCAUCAGCCAAUCAACUGAAAGGAAGAUUACUGUUGCAGACCACAGCGAUGGGUGACAUGAUGAUUAUUAGGCCCUGAAGCCUGCAAGGCAUGAAGAAUGCAGUCAUCUCUAAUCUGGAAUUUCACAUGAAUUUGCAUCAUAUUCAGCAUACAUUUUCAUCAGCCUUUUGCAAACACAAAAGCAAGAAAAGGAGACAACGCUUCUUUUGGUGCAUCCAUGAAAAAAGUGUCUUCUUACAUUGCUACACGGCGGAAUCUGAGGAGAUGAGACGGCUUUCGUUCUGGCAGACCAUAUGCAUCUAUGAAUAUGCAUGA
ensembl:lncRNA